rnacentral:rRNA from 1 species
UCGCUAGUAAUCGCGGAUCAGAAUGCCGCGGUGAAUACGUUCCCGGGUCUUGUACACACCGCCCGUCACACCAUGGGAGCCGGAAAUGCCCGAAGUCAGUGACCCAACCGCGAGGAGGGAGCUGCCGAAGGCAGGUCUGGUAACUGGGGUGAAGUCGUAACAAGGUACC